CAUACCGGCUAUGUCAUUGCGAUGAAUCAUAUAAAGCGCUAGUUCGACUCGCUCACCAUUGAAAAAACGUACAAACAGUUAUUAAUACAGGUCCACGAGAAUUGGCGAUACUUUUAUCUGGCUGUGGUCAAUAUACCGAUGCAUUGAAACUGGUUACUGGCUUCUAAUUAUCACUUCUUUCCAUAUGGGGACAGUCUAACCGCAGUAUGAGCAUUACCCAGGAAGGCGUCAAUGAAGCAUGGGCUUGGUUAAAAGAAAAUGUCUUGGCUAAUGUGCCUUUUCGCAAUAAAGCUGCCGAUGUGGCCUGGUCACUGUUACAAAAACUCAUUUAUGACAAUGAGUUAGAAAAGUCUACUAGCAUACGUAAAUAUGCGGUAAACAAGCUGCUACGUCUCAAAGCCUUUAUCUUGUAAUGGCUAUAUAAAGACUACAAGCUGACGAAUUACCAAACGCAAUGUUGGAAGCGAGUAUUUCAGUUUUAAACAUACAAUUGCGGUUGACUAUAAACCAGGAAAUGUGUCUGCCAGUAAAUACAUUAGAUCGUUUGUUCCACAGAUUAGAAUUGAAUGAUAAUUCAGAUAUUGGUAGCAUACUAAUAAUUCGAAUAAUAGACAUAAAAAAUAAUUUUUCUUUUUAGAUUUAGAUUUUUUAUUUUCAGAUUUAGAGGACGUCAUGCAGAUCUAUAUCGAUACGGCACAGCGCACAGCAGAGGUUAAAAUCCAAAUAGAUUAAAUAAAAAUAAAAUAAAUUUACAUUCAAUUAAAGAUUAUAAAAGACAAGUUUUUCUUAUAUUUUAAAGAAAAUUAAAAAUCCUCUAUCAAUAUCGAUUCGGAAAAAAAUUUUGUAUAAAGUUCAUGAAUUGAGCAACGAAGUCUUCUAAAUGCAAUAUAUGUUAAGUGUUGUUUUGCAUGCAAUGCUCAUACAACUAAAACUUAUAAACAGCCAAUAGUUAUCGCCACAGUAACAUUCUCAUGAUGUUUUUGUUGAAUUUUAAACUGUUCCAACACAGAUCUCAAAA